CCUCUCUUAGACCCCUGCCCUCCCCUGUCCCCCUUCACUCCCUUAGCCCCCGGCUGUGGAUAAAGUUACCCUCUCUUCACCACACACACACACACACACACACACACACACACACACACACACACACACACACACACACACACACACACACACACUUCUUGGCAGCUCUCUCUUUGCCUGGGCAGACUCUAUAAGCCCUGAGCCCCAGCCAGGCUCCUGUUGCUGUGAAAAAUAAAUUGACACACUCCCACUAACCCCCCCCUGCCUGCUGGAGCUAAUGGGCUAACCCAGUGCUUCCUCUGUCCACCCCCGCUGCAGAGGGACAGAUGGUACAUACUGUUGGUGCUGCUCUAACUGCUCUGUCAUUGAUUCAGUAGUAACACAGUCGUCAGUCCACAGCCUGCCUGCCUGCAGAGAGAGAGCCAAAACAGGAAGAGAGAAAGAGAGGACAUAAGGAGAGAGGAAAAGAGAGUGAUUGUGAGCGAGAGAAGCAGGGAAAGCAUCCAGCCAUCUGUCUGUCUCCAGUCUGAAAGCCACAGCCGCCCUCUUUUGUUUGGCGUCCCUGAUAUGACCCUGUUUAAAAGUGAGCACCACCGCAGCCCACGAUACAUUAGCAUGAGUGGAGAGCUGAAGUCUAGCCGUUCCAAGACCGGCAGCAAGAGACCCAGCAGCAAUCCAUACGGAUCUGACUAUGACCUGGACUAUGAGUGCUAUCAGGAGGACCUCUAUGACAGGUACUGUCAGCCCGCUCUGCACAGCCCCUCUCACACAAACCCUGAAUGUUCAGAGUCAGACAGAGGAAAAGUCUAAAACACACACUUAACCCUCCUUGUCUCCCCUGUCUCCUGUUGGCCCUCUCCCUCCUCCCCCUCCCCCUGUCUGUCACUGAGCUGUCAGUCAUGUGUCUCUGCUAAUAGAGCUGCCUGUUACUGCC
rnacentral:lncRNA from 8 species